GGGCCCGUAGUUCACCGGUAGAAUAACUCCAUGGCAUGGAGUAGAAAGGGGUUCAAUUCCCCUCGGGUCCACAA
rnacentral:tRNA from 2 species